rnacentral:sRNA from 1 species
GAAAACACCUAGAAACGCUCCAACACUCCCGAGGCUUGGGCAUAGGCACGGCACAAGAUGUUCCUUCUCUUUCCUUCCUUGCAAGCAGCGGCACUAGAGGUUUUGGACGGUUUUGGGUGGUUUUUAUGGUGUAGAAUGGAUGGGGAAUGGUAUGGAAAGGUUUAGGGUAAGUGUGGAGGAGUGUUUGAGGGUUGGAGGGUGGUGGAGAACUAGGCAAAGAGGGUGGAAGAAGGCAAAGAGGGUGGAAGAAGGUGGAGUGGCUGUUAUGUUUUCUAGGCACUAGAAUGGUGUUUUUGGGGUGUUUUGCUUCCUAGGGUGUGUAUGGACGAAUUGUUGUGAUAAAAUGAUGAAUAUGGGGAUUGUCCUUUGGCCAAGGGGUGUAAACAUGUAUUUAUAGGCCCCAAAAACCUUAGAAAAUCAGGUUAGGUUAAGGAUGAAAUGCAUGGCAAUUUUGUGUGUGUGGUGUGCAAUGGUCCAAGGGUGAAAAUGAAGUAAUGAUGCAAAGUGUGAAGGGUAAAAUGGAGUGGUGUUGUAGCUAGGGAGCAUGAAUGAUUGUGUACAUUGCAUAGAGAUGGAAAGGGAGGUGAAAUGUGUCAACAAAUGGGUCAAAGGUGCAACAACAUGUGUUGCACAUGGCAUUGGAUUCCAAAUGUGAAUGAUGGAGCAUCAAUUGGUGCAUGUAAUGGAUGUAAAUGUUGUCUAAAAUCUAAUGAGUGAAGGGAACAAGAGGUAUCAAGCAAUUGAGUGUAAUAAUUAAAUGAAUUGAAGCAUGAAAUCAGAAAUUAUGUAGGGGACAAGAGUGAUCAAGCAUGGCAUGGGAAUCCAAAGGGAAUUCUAUGUGGUUUGCAUGGCAAGGAAUGCAAGUUGGGGUGACAGAUUUUUUGGCUGUUUUCUUCAUCUUUUGGACCAUAAUUCUUCAUAUUCUUGGCCUCUUUAGUUCUCAAAUUCGUCCAUCCACUUUGGCCCAUGCAUUUGCUAUCCAUUCCAAGCCCCAUUUUGCUCCAAAAUGCUCCA